rnacentral:rRNA from 1 species
UGAGUAACCUGCCCUUGACUCUGGGAUAAGCCUGGGAAACCGGGUCUAACACUGGAUAUGACCUUCUGGCGCAUGCCAUGUUGGUGGAAAGCUUUAUUGCGGUUUUGGAUGGACUCGCGGCCUAUCAGCUUGGUUGGGGGGGUAAUGGCCUACCAAGGCGACGACGGGUAGCCGGCUGAGAGGGUGGACGGCCACACUGGGACUGAGACACGGCCCAGACUCCGUACGGGAGGCAG